rnacentral:rRNA from 1 species
ACCACCAAGGCUAAGACGGGUAGCUGGUCUGAGAGGAUGACCAGCCACACUGUGACUGAGACACGGCCCAGACUCCUACGGGAGGCAGCAGUGGGGAAUAUUGGACAAUGGGCGAAAGCCUGAUCCAGCCAUGCCGCGUGAGUGAUGAAGGUCUUCGGAUCGUAAAGCUCUGUGGGAAGGGACGAAAAAGCCUAACCUAAUACGUUAGGUCUUGACGGUACCUUCUUAGCAAGCACCGGCUAACUCCGUGCCAGCAGCCGCGGUAAUACGGAGGGUGCAAACGUUGCUCGGAAUUAUUGGGCGUAAAGCGCACGUAGGCGGUCCGCUAAGUCGGAUGUGAAAGCCCUCGGCUUAACCGAGGAAGUGCAUCCGAAACUGACGGGCUAGAGUACGGAAGAGGGUUUCGGAAUUCCCGGUGUAGAGGUGAAAUUCGUAGAUAUCGGGAGGAACACCAGUGGCGAAGGCGGAAACCUGGGCCGAUACUGACGCUGAGGUGCGAAAGCGUGGGGAGC